CCAUAUCCAGAUAAUGGAAGACAAUUCUCUCUUUUUUUCCUUCUCUAAUUUUCAUGCGAAGAUGUUUUAGGAGGAGGAGGAGGGAAGAAGAUGAAGGAGAGGAACUAAGAUGAAGAUAUUGAUGCGCCUCAAUUGAAAGGCAUGGUUAUGGUAAUAUUGCAAGUUUUUAGAGAUCGAGUAGCCAUGUGAUUUGAUUGAGCCGCGUCAAUAUCUCCUUUUUUUAUUGACGUCUCUUUUUCCUAUCUUGCUCUCUUUCUCUAUCAAGCUUCCACAUGAACCCUAAUCUUGUAAUCUUCUUCUGUCACGAUUGGUUGGGAGAAUCCCAAUAAAUAGUAAAGUCUGUUCAUUUAUUUAUAUUAAUUUUUAUAUAUACGUGUUGUUGUAAUAAUUUUAUGUAAAAGUUCCCUAUUUUCUCUCUUCUUCCCACACUUCAAUCUAAGAAAUGCUUCAGAGAUGAAGGUGAGGAGUGAAGGAAAAAGGAAGAUGGGACAAUUCCCUCUUAAUUCUUCAUCUUAGAUAGAUAGAUAAAAAAAAAAAAAAAACUAUAUCAAAAAGUUCAAAUUAAUAUAUAUAUUUUUUCAAAUUUGAUCCCUAAUCCAAUUCUACAGUUAGUCUUUAAUCUUUUAAAAUUCUCAAAUUUUCUCUUCAUUUUAUUAAAAACUCUCAAUUAGAUCAUUGGAUAGAAAAAUUUGUUAAUUAAAAAUUAAUUAUGUAUCAUUAAAUCAUUGAUUUAUUAACAUAUUUAUAUCUAUUGACUCGAUGAACAUAUCACUUGAAUACUACUUUGAUACUUAGAGUACACCUAAAAUCUAACAUGCUCACAAGAAAAAUCUAAACUCCAAACAUUUUCAAUGCAAAUUAUUAACAAAAAUUUGUUAUGAGACUUGAUUUUGAGAACUUUUAUAAGUGCAUUAGAGUUAAAAUUGAGGUUCUUUUGUAGACUUUUGAUUAUGACGGCCCUAUAUGGUAUGGUCCUCAAUUUUUGUAUUUAUUAUAAGUCGGACAAGAAGUUAUACGUUUGAUGGAAAUUGCGUCCCAUGGAUUUGGAUCCAAGACCUAAAGGUUAUUCCUUAAAGUCCCAAACCACUCAAGUUAUCCCUUGAAACUUUUUCUGAUUUGUUAUUUUGGCCAAUCUAACGAAAGAGACAUUUAUUACAUAUAAUAAGCUUAAAAAUUGAUGAGACUAAAAUGGAAAAAGAAGAGAGUACAUUAUACUAUUCCACCCAAAAAUCUAGAUUUUCAUCUAACUUAACACAACUAUUCUAUUCUGUGUGAAUAAUUGACUGUUAGCAGGUGUUGGAUUUGAACUUUAUUUCCAUUCGGCGAAGUCAAAAUUUACUUGGUGAAAAAGCCUGCCACAAAAUGGUACACUUUAAAUAACUGCUUCUUUGUUCUUCUCUUUGGGUGUGAUGGAAUCUCAAUUUUUCCCCGUCGGCAAAGGACAAGAGGGGACUGUGUCUGUGUUGGCUACUGUGUUUUGUUUGAUAUUAAAAGAGAGAAAACAGAGCCAUUUAUUAUAACAUUUUAAUGCCCCUUUGGCUUCUUUCCCACCCAUCGCAUUCACUGGACCCACUCCCCUCCACACAAACUUGAUGUAUUUUAGGUCAUAUUUCAACUUUUAGGUUGAGUUAGGUUUGUGAUACAAAAAUCAAAAUUUAGAACCAUGAGAUGGGACGAAACGGAGUUGUAUUCCGUGUUCGAUAUCGAAAUUAAAUUUCACUUUCUCAAUAAUUAGAUUCUAUAAAAUAUGUUAUAAGAAGAUAAAACGAGAUCAGAUUGGAUGAGCAGAAGACAGUAAGGAGGUCGAAUUAAAUCCGCCGACGACUCGGGUCGGCGUCAAGAAUCCCGAUGGUUCUCUCUCGACCCCGUGCAGCCUGAUCUGAAUUUACCUUGUCUCGACCCUAGAUUCAUUACAAGACACAGAGGCACGGGAUCUCUUGGGCACACUACCAUUCAAUCAUUCAACUUUGAUAAUUCCUAAAAGGAAGGAUAAGCCAACUCACAAUACCCUACGUUUAUAUUCAACUACUAUCCUAACUUAAACAAGUCUUGUCGAUCCUUUUAUUUUAAAAAAUUGGUGCGAAUAUUGACGAAAUUCUAUGAAAUCAAAUUUCUACAGCAACAGAAUCAAAAUACUAGUUUCAAAAUUGACCCACUAAGUAGAAAUUUAUUGCAAUAAAUUGAAUCAAGAUAGGAUACGAAACAUAUCUACCUUUUCGUUUAAAUUCUUCGUCGGGGUCUCGAAAACUUUGAUAAAUCAUUUGUUUUGAAAAAUGGUUACUUGGGGACGGGUUGAAAAGUAGGGAGUAAUGUGUGUAUUUGGGUGGGAAAGCUGCCUUUUUUUGCGAUGACUUUGGUUUUGGGAUGUGAUGUUUUUUUUUCUUUUUUGAAAUUUUGAAGGAAAUGGAAGUGAGUCUCUUGUAGAAUCAACCAAAGUGGGGAUUUCUUUCUUUUUUUUUUUUUGGAUGUUGAUUUAUUGAUGAGUUUAUUACGUAAGAAGCACGUCGUUUUAGUUUCUUUCUUAUCAUCUAUUGUUGUUAUUAAUGUUGAUAAAGGUAGAUGUAAGUAGCCUUUGAAAGUCAUUUUUUCAAAUAUUACGAUUUUACUUUUUCACUUUAUAUUAGAUAUCUAAUAUAUAAAUUAAAUUUAUCCAAUCUAUCGACCUAAUUUUUUGGAUUGAGUGGUGUUUUAUUCUUCUUAACAUUUUAAAAUCAAAUUUGGAAAGAUUCUUUUUUUUUUCCUUUCUAUAAAGGUACAUAAUUGAUAUAAUUCAAUUCUCUAAUAAGUUCUUUUUGUAGCAAUUAGGAUUUGACUAUUUAGUCAUCGUACACUGUACAUUAGAGUGGUACAUAAGUUGGAGGGUUUGAAAACUCGGGUCGGUCAGAUCUAUAACUUAAAUGACUUCAAUAGGAUUUGUAACCUCACCUAACCCAAUCCAACUCUCAUAAUUUUUGGUUAGGUUGGAUGGGAGGAUCAGGUUCUUUAAUUUUUGUCUUUUUUUUUAAUGGACUGUUGCUACCUGAUGAUGAGCCAAUAAGUUUAUGAGUGUUAGAUAUAGAGCGGCACUCAUGAUAGAUGGAGAUAGACGAUGGGUGCUGAGUAACGUAGAGGCACUGUGUCUAGAGACAGAGAGCAAAGGUGAGAGACGAGAGAGACACAAUCAUGUCGAGGCAAGCGGUUGCAAGGAGAAAAUGGAAUUGAAAGUGAAAGGGGAGGUGGAAGACUUGAACCCAACUCAAAUCGAGAACUUAGUUACCCUAGCCCAAUCCAACUCUCGUGUUUUAGGUUGGGUUACUCGAUUUUUUCGUGUUGUCGGGGUUACCUAUCCGACUACACACCUCCCUCUUUUUGCUCUUAUAUUUGGGGUUGAUGUGAAUGGAUUAUUGAGAGAUCAUUGUCCAAUCUGAUUGGCGUCGGUGCAUAAAGAUUUGAAAGGGAUUUUUAAAGGUGAAAAGGCGUGUAGGGAACUCCCAAUAAUACCUAAUCUCAAAGUUCAUAUAUUACAGGAGAGUUGCACUUGUUUGGAAAAUAACAAAAUUUAAAAGUGACAUCAUUUUUAAGUCAUUAUUUUAUAUGCCUAAUUGCAAAAGGGCCUUUGAUCCA